rnacentral:lncRNA from 1 species
GCCAGUUCUCAGAACACCAAGAGUUAGGAGGUGGCUUUAAAAAUUUACUAAAUUUACCACAUUAUGAGGAAUCACUGUCAUUUGGACAAGUCAGGUCACGUUGAGACUUAGAAAGCGCCCUUUGCUGUGUUACUCUGUUUUUGAAUCAGGGGAGGAAUUCUUUGCAAAGCGUGCUGUUAAGUCAGCUCUGCCUUCUCUGUUCAUCACCCCUUUCCACAUUCAUUAAAAAACAAUUAUGACUAAUUAACCACUUGAGAUUCUGUUCCCGUUGAGGCCAUCAUCAUCACCCCCUGCCCUGUCAUGUCCUCACGUGUGGGUAGAGCCACUGGAGGUCAAAGGUGGUUGCUCGUGG